UACGGAGGGGGCUAGCGUUGCUCGGAAUCACUGGGCGUAAAGCGCACGUAGGCGGCUUUUUAAGUCAGAGGUGAAAUCCUGGAGCUCAACUCCAGAACUGCCUUUGAUACUGGAGAGCUUGAGUCCGGGAGAGGUGAGUGGAGCUGCGAGUGUAGAGGUGAAAUUCGUAGAUAUUCGCAAGAACACCAGUGGCGAAGGCGGCUCGCUGGCCCGGUACUGACGCUGAGGUGCGAAAGCGUGGGGAGCAAGCAGG
rnacentral:misc_RNA from 1 species